GGAUGAUUUUCUGGACUGAAGCAUCUGACCCGUUUCAACCUGACUCCUCUGCAACGGGAAACAUGGCACCCGAGUGUGUCUCUAACCUGGGGUCCUCUACGUACAGCUCUGCGUCUGGUUCCUCGCCAUCCCUCGGGCUCAAUUAGAAGCAUUGUUGAGUGGACUCUACAGGCGAGAUGAUCACUGGCUGCCUGUUGCAAAAAAGACGAGUAUGUUAUCUUUAAAAGAAACAAUCUCAAA